rnacentral:lncRNA from 1 species
CGGGUUUAGGACUGUAUUUUGGGUUAGAUUUUAUUGGGCUAAUGUUUAGUUUGGGCCAUAUUGAGUCCAGUGUAAAUGGACAUUUAAAAUGGACUAUUUUUAUUGGUUUAUAUUUUUUGUUUAUUUAUUUUUGAUUUGGGCCGGGAAAAUUUAGGCUAUUACAGCUGCCCCUCUUUGCUCAUUGUCGUGUAACGGGAACAGAGCAAAGACUUUAAAAUAGCCAAUUUUGCCUGGUCGUGUUGGACCUUGGUGCUCUUUUGCUUC